AGUGGCACGCGAGCUGGGUUCAGAACGUCGUGAGACAGUUCGGUCCCUAUCUGUUGUGGGCGUAAGAAAUUUGAGAGGCUCUGACUUUAGUACGAGAGGACCGAGUUGGACGAACCUCUAGUGUACCGGUUGUGGUGCCAACUGCACCGCCGGGUAGCUACGUUCGGUGAGGAUAAGCGCUGAAAGCAUCUAAGUGCGAAACCCUCCUCAAGAUGAGAUUUCUUUUAAAGGUCGUUAUAGACGAUAACGUUGAUAGGCUGCAGGUGUAAAGGCAGUAAUGUCAAAGCCGAGCAGUACUAAUUACCUGUAAGCUUUUUAUAA
rnacentral:ncRNA from 1 species